rnacentral:rRNA from 1 species
UACGUAGGCAGCGAGCGUUGUUCGGAAUUACUGGGCGUAAAGAGUGUGUAGGCGGUGCUCUAAGUCUGUUGUGAAAUCUCCCGGCUCAACUGGGAGGGUGCGGCGGAAACUGGAGUGCUCGAGUGUGGGAGAGGUAAGCGGAAUUCCUGGUGUAGCGGUGAAAUGCGUAGAUAUCAGGAGGAACACCGGUGGCGAAGGCGGGUCUCUGGGCCGAUACUGACGCUGAGGAGCGAAAGCGUGGGGAGCGAACAGG